UAAUUUUUUUUAAUAAAUGAUCUACGUUCAUAGAUUUAAAGAAUUAUUAAACGGAAGUCAGCUUGUGAUGAGUCCAACGAAAUGAAAUAGGAUGUUGUAGUUCAAAGACAAGUCAUUUUCUUUUCGUUUAUAUUUGUUUUUUAAUUUUAGGCUGUAAUUACAAAGGAAAAAGGAAAGGAAAAAAGGUAAUGAAUCUAACAGAUUAAAUUUAAUUUGUUAGAUACCUUCUAGUGUGUUGAAUAAUUAAUUAUCUAUUAGCUCAAACUCAUCUCUGUUUUAAAUUCCAAAGAUGUAUAACUACUUAAACUAAGCUCAAGCUUAAUAUCAAACAUAGAAUUAAUAACACAUAUUAUAAAAGCAAAAAAACUAAGUGAGUGAACUUAAAAAUUAGCCAUGCAUAAUAUAUAAUUUAUCCCACAUGUGAAAAUAUUAGACUUAUCUCACAUCGCUUAUCUCAUCCAACAAACUUAAUUUUAAAUUAGACUCCUCAACCCUUUUCUCUAACAUGAUAUCCAAAAUAUAUACUUUGAGUGAUUCUCUCAGUAGUGAUCAUGUCUCUACUUAAGUCUCUAUCUCUCUUCUCAUCAACUCCAAGUUCAUCCUCUUAAUCUACUGCCUACCUUACCUUGUGCUAUGUGGCCAUUGCUUCUUAGCACAAGUAAUAAUUAAAAAAGUAUCUUAUUUUCAUAGACCAGAUAUGUGUGUUGAUGAUAUUAUCUAAGGUGUUUCAAAAAUUCGAAAUAUGGUUAAAUAAAACCCUAGAAUGUGGUUUGGUUCUAUAGUUUAGAUGGUUCAAUUCUCAUUUUAGAAAUAGAAAAUUGAGGAUGUUUGGCUUUGGUAUUUACUCUCUGCUUUAUAUAUUGAAUCUCCAUUAUUCUAUUUUGAGAUGUUUAAGAAUCCAUUUAUCUUUUUUUUCAUAUAUUAUUUAAGUAACAUUCAACCAAAUAAAAAAUUAAAUGUAAUAAUUACUAUGUUAAAAUUAAAAAUUCAGUAAAAAGUAAAUGUUAUGAUUGUGUUUCCUUAAAAAUUAAAUUGAAUUCUCCGAAAAAGACCUUCAAUAUAGGACUAAGUGAAUAUAUAUUAAAACUUGAAUGCUUCGUUACGUUUAUGCUAUGGAAUGUUUAUAUUAUCACCCUCUCGAUAACCAUAGUAAUAUUCUUAUCUCACAUUAUUCUAACGAUGAACACAAAAUAAUAGAGACAAGUUUAGAGACGAUGUAUAGAAUUAAAAGGGUGAGAAAAUUUGCAAUAUUUAGUUAAUUUUUUUAAAUUCAAUUUUACAAAGUUAUUUUUCAAAAUUUAUUUGAUUGACUAUUGAAAACACGCUCUCUAUAAUUUUUUUCAAGAAAAAACUCAAUUUUUAGCAUAAAUUAAAAUAUACCAUAUUUAAACUGUCAAAAACCAUUCCCACUGGAGGAUAAAUAAUAUAUGUUAUCUAACACGUUUUCUCUGUAAUGUUGUCAACAAUAAUAUACGAAAAGACAAAGUAUAUUUAAGAGCCCCCACUAUGCUUGUGUUUCUCUCUCGUCGCAAUAAUUACUUAUUAAAGUACGAGAAAAGACAAAGUACACGUGAGAUAGGAAAACGACUACUCUAACAAUUUAGGUCUCAUUUGGCUGGAGGAUUUGGAGGGGUAUAAUUUUUUUCCCGGAUAACUUUUUUCUCGGAAUGUUUGGCUAGCGGAUAUGCCCCCGGAUAAGUUAUGCCCCCGAAGGUAGAUAAUUUUUGGGUUGCCUAGACCCCUAACUAAAAAUUAUCCGGGGGAUAAGGGAUACCGCCCCCCUCUCUCCCCCGCCCCCCCCUGUCUCCUUUCUCGUCUCCUCUAUCUACAUCUCUCAGCCCUGCCCACUCUUUUUCCUCUAUCCCUCUUUUCUCUUUUCUUUUCUCUCAUUCCUUUUCUUCCUUCCUCCUAACCUACCUUAUCCACUCAUUCUAAAAAAGUAUCCAAAACAAAAGUUAAAAGUUAUCCCAUCCAAAGUUAUCACCUCUAAAAAGUUUCCUCCCCUAAAAAUUAUGCUGCCUCCCUUAUCCUCAGCCAAACGGGCCCUUGGGGUAAGGUAAAUGUUACGUAGUACGUACCCCCACCAAUUGAAAUAACACCGACACCCAUAGUUAUGAAAACGGACGAACCGGCAGGUUCAACCGGUUCAAUCGAAACUGGGCACUAAAUCGGUUCGGACACAACAUUUUAUCGCAUCGGAAAAAUGCAAGCCAACCGGAUUGAACCGGUUUGAAUCGGCCGAUUUUUUUUUUUUAACAGAAAAAAUAAAGUUUUAAUUUUUACAGUUUGACCCAAAAAUUUUAAUUAAAGUUUUACUUUUUACAAUGACCCCAAAAUUUGAAUUAAAUUAUUUUUUUAAUCGUUUUCUAAAUUAAUUUUUACUAUGAAUGGGUAAUAAAAAAAUUUUUUUUUUUUUUAUAAUAAAAAUAUAAUUUUAUUAUAUUAAUUAUAAAUCCGGUUGAACCGUGGUUGUUUGAACCCAAGGGAACCGUGUGAACCAGUAUUUUGACCGGUUCAAUGUCCGGUUCGGUUCUGAUAACUAUGCCGCGACACCCCUUAAUAUCUGAAAAGGGUAAUGCUAUGAGUACAUUCAAUUUACACCCUAAAUGCAUAUUUGAUGAGGUGGAGUAUUUAAAUUGGUUGGGUGUGGGGUCCACACAGUCCUUUCACCCCACACAUAGCCAAUCUAAAUACUUCAUCUCAUCAGGGGUGCAAGUUGGAUGUACCAUAGCAUUUCUCAUAUCUGAAAACGGUAAAUUUUGACUGACCUCGCAUGAUAUUUUUGAAUCAAAAUCCAACACGUGUACAUUAGUCCAAUUCCUAUUUAAUGGGCUAUUGGGGCCAUAGCCCCUGCAUGUUUCCUCUCGCUGCAUCCACAUGGAGACUGAUCUAAUGUCCCUUUCUUAUCUGUCCUUUCUUUCUUUUUUCAUUAAUUCAAAAGAGGUGAUCAGAUGUGGCGCACCCAUUGUAAUACCAUGGGAGCGUCCCUGAGGGCUCACUACAAUCACAUAAUUUUUUUCAAAUUAUGUCUUAUUUAUUUUUGAAAUCACUCAGCCACAAAAUAUGUGGCUGUGGUGAGGCCACGGAGGGCGCUCCCAUGAUAUUAUCACGGACACGCACCUAUCUGAUCACCACUCUUAAUUUAAUGCGAUGCUCGGAAAAGGUACAAUGGAGUCUUACACGAAUCUCGUAAGUGUUUGCAAUAGUUUAUCUCCUUUAAUUCAUAAACCAUAUAUAAUACUUUAUAUACCGAAGGCAUUAUGAAAUCUAAAAUAUUCCUAAAAUUAUAAUUUAGGUUCGAGUCAAAAAAUUCACAACUACGACCUACAAGCUGAUGAGAUACCAACAUACAUACACCACAAUCAUAUGGUCCUCACUGAUCUCUCUUCUCGACGCCUACACAUGCAUUAUAUGCGCAUAAAAUAUUUGAAGUGUUAAACUAAUCCCAUAUCAAAUAGUUUUGGGAAUACUCCACCUCAUGCUAAUGAUCUUUACUUUACAAUAACAAUUUGUACUACUACAAACAAUUCGCCUUGCUAGAUGCAUUAAAUUGAACUUUCAAGUUCCAAAUUUCUAUUUUGGGAAUUAAAAAGCUUUUUUAAUUGUGCUAUCUGAAAUGACCUUUGGUUUUAACACAUGUAAUAAUUAAAAAAUAUCUUAGCUUUAUCGCCAAAUAUGUGUGUUGAUGAUAUUAUCUAGGGGUGUCUGAAAAUUUAAAAAAAAAACGAUAAAUCAGAUCAAACCAAAUUGGAUCGAACCGUAUGGCUGGUGUGGUCCGGUUCUACGAUUUAGAUUGUUUCAAUACUAAUUUUAAAAAAUAUUAAAUUGGUCUAUAUAGUUCAGUCUUAGUUCUUUAUUUCAGAAUUGUGGUUCAAAAUAAACUGGGCCUGUUUUGUUAAGAACAGAGUUCUGUAACUGGAAUUGAUAUUGCUGAUAGCUGGAAGAAGAAAGAAGAAAAUAGAUUUCCCUAUUCGAGCUAGGGAUAAAGCUCUUAAAAGAACCAAGUAAAGACGGAAUUUUUCAUUCCCUUCUGAAUCAAUGUUACAUUCUUUAUAUUGCUGGACGUUUGACAAGAAUUCAAGGAAUGAUAUCUAACAGUUUUAAACACUAACUGAAUUAACCCAUUCUUGAUAUUGCCCAUGCUUCAGUUAUCUGUUAGCAUAGUUAUUUUGCCAUGCUUUACAUCAUGUUCCUGUCUUUUAAGUCUUAAUCUUUCAUUCAUUCUGGCCUUUUGAUACUCCUUCUUGUUCUAUCAUCCGCUACAAAGCUGUUCUCUCCUACUACCACUGCAUUCGUAACAUGUUUACGUACAUACAUAGCGUGUAUGUGUAAGUUAAACCCAUCCUAACCUUCCUAAUUUAUUUUAUAUUGAGGUAUCAUUACUUAUUGUUUGAUGUUGUAUGAAUUUUUUGGGUUUUCGAUUUUUGCGGUUGUUAUGCUUAGUUUUUUCUAAAGUGGAAUGUUGUCAUGUUAUUUUAAAAUGUAGAUAGUUUAGAAUUUAAAUGUCAGGUAUAAAAUUUAGGAUGUUUGCCUGUGGCAUUUAUUCCAUUCGUCUCAUAGAACUUUUGUUAUUUUAGUUUGGAAUGUCCGAAAAUGUAUAUUCAAUUCGACAGUUAAUAACGAAAAUAUACAACUUUUCUCUUUUAGCCUUUUUUUUAUAAAUUAUUUAAGUAAUAUCAACCAAAACAAAAAAUUAAAUGUAAUAAUUACAGGGAUAAAAUUGGAGAGUCAAUAAAAAUUAAAUGUAAUAAUUAUAUUCCCUUAAAAAGGUUAACUCCCCGAAAUCACACUUCCGUUUGAGGUGGACGGAGUAGAUGUUAAAACUUGAAUGUUAUGUUUUGUUUAUACUGUGUUUAUGUUAUCGGUCUUAACAAUGAGGAUGAUAUUUUUGUCACACAUUAAUCUAAUAAUUAAUUCAAAAAAAAUAGAGAAAAGUUUGGGGACCUCGCAUAGAAUUAAAAGUGCGAGAAAAAAAUUGCAAUGUUUAGAGUAAAUUUCAAAAUAGUCCCUAUAAUUUUUUUUAACAUUGAUUUUGGUUCUUAUAUUUUUAAAUCCCAUGAUUUUAACCUUGUAUUUUAAUUUACAUGCCUAAUCAAUUUAAUUGAUAACCAAAGUUAAGUUGUUGGACAUAUUUUCAAUACAUUUUGAACAUAUGACUUCAUUUGAUGGCAAUUUAUAGUUGGAUUUAUCAAAUUAUAAUAGAAUUUAAGCAAUUUACAGUGAGAAUAGGAAAAAAGUUGAUUUUAUCACUCAAAUGAUGGUACAUGUCGGCCAAUAGUGAAAAUUCAUCCAAAAACAUAACAUUCAUGACCAAUUGGCUUAAUUAGGUGAGAAAAUCAAAAUAUAAAAUUAAAACCGCGGAAUUUUAAAAUACAUGGAUCAAAAUCUUGAAUGAAUAAAACUACAAUGACCGUUUUUGAAAUUUAAUCAUAUUUUAAGAUUCAAUUUGACGAAAUGUUUUUUUCAAAAUUUAUUUGGUUGAUGAUUGAGAACAUGCUCUCUAUGAAUUUCUCGAGAAAAACUCAUUUAUUAGCAAAAAUUAAAAUAGUAUUUAGUGACGGCAUAUAGAAUUAAGAGGGUGAGAGAAAAAAUGGCAAUGUUUAAUAAAUAUUUAUAAAAUUAUUUUAAUAUUUUUAAAAUUACUUUUGCAAAAUAAUUUUUAAAAAUUUAUUUGGUCGACGGUUUAAAACGUACUCUCUUUGAAUUUGUCGGGGGAAAAAAAUCUCAUUUUUGGAUAAAAUUAGAAGGGUAUAUUUAAGUUCUCAAAAACUAUUUCUGCUAAAAGAUAAAUACUGUAUGGUAUUUAAAAUAAGCUGUAUCAUUUAAGCUGUCUAUGAUACAUUUUUAAAUGUUUAGUUGGCUCUAGAGAAGGUGGGUGCUGAUGGAAGAAUUGAGGUGUAUUUAGGAGCUCUCACUAUGGUUGGGCCAAGGAGAACCCCAAAAGAUGACUUUUCUUUAAUACAAACUUGCCCGAAAAUGAAAUUACAAAGGACACCAACCACAUAAUUAAAAUAAAAAAGUUUCUCUUGACGCCUCUCUCCUGACUGACCAAGUUGUUGCAACUACUACUCAUGAUUUUCUCCUGAUAUUAUAUUUAACUUAUAUAGGAAUAAAGUAUAGAAUUAAAAAAAUUUCAAAAUACCAAGAUUUGUUUUUAUCCCUCAAAUGACGAUUCAUGUCAAAAAAAAGUGAAAAUCUAUCCCAAAAUAUAACAUUCAUUAUCAAUUGGAUUAAUGAGGCGAUAAAAUAAAAAUAUAAGUUAAAAUCGCAAAAUUAAAAAAUAUAGGGACCCAAAUCACAAAUGAAAAAAACUACAAGGAUCAUUUUUGAAAUUUAACCAUUUUUAAAUUCAAUUUGACGAAAUAGUUUUUUAAAAUUUAUGAUUGAAAAUACGGUCUCUAUGAAUUUCUCGAGAAAAGCUCAUUUAUUAGCAAAAUUUGUAAUGGUAUUUCAAAUUCUCAAGAAUUAUUUCUACUAAAAGAUAAAUAAUACUGAUGGUAUUUGAAACGUGUUCUCUAUCAUCUCUGCAAUCAUAUAUGCGGUGAUCUGCCACCGUGUUUUAUUUCCGUCUUAGCAAUAAUGCACAAAACGACAAAGUCUCAAUAAUACUUUACAGUGAACAAAGGCCAUGUUUGAUAUAAUCAGGAUGGGAGGGGAUUGUACUACCAAUCGGUGAGACCCCUAAUCCGUGUUAUUUCGCCGGGAAAUGGCCGACUAUAGUCCGAUCGAUACGAAUCCCCCAAAUGGGAGGGGUUGCUAUCCCAUGGGUGAGGGUGAGAUUAACAACCCCUCCUACUCCGAUCUCUCAAAAUGGACAUUUUACCCUGGCAUAUUUGUAUAUUUGUGUAAUUAAGGGUAAAUAUAAAAUUUCAUGAAAAAAAUUUUAUAAAAUUUUGGAAACUAUGGCCAAUUACUCUGAUAUUUACUUAAUCCCACUGUCUAAUCUCGUGCAAACCAAACACUCGAUCGGACUAGUGCCCUCCAUUCUAAUCCCACCUCCUUCAAUCUAACCUAACCCACCUCAUUACUACUCUACCAAUUCUAUCACAUUGGGACAAGUACAAGUAAGAUGGUAAAAGGCUAAAGCAACCACUCUAAUAAUUUAAGGUAAAUUACACUCACCCCCCUAAUACAUUUACUAUCAUACAUCUCUUUGUUUCUUUAAGAUGUUUGAUUUUUUGCAUUUUUUAUUUUAUGUUCAUGUAAUAGAAUAUUUAUGUUAUCACCCUUAAAUGAUUUUAUAUUUAAUUUACAGGAUUAAAAUAUAGAAAUAAGAAAAUCUUAAAAUACCAAGAUUUGUUUUUCACGAAAAUAAGAAUUUAUUUUCAUGUUUUUUAUAUUAUUUUCAUUUGGUGAAAGAAUCUAUCCACGUGGUACUUGUUUUGGACUUUCAUGGGUAUUGCUAUAAAUUUAUUUAAAACAUAUAAGUAGAGUGUCAAGCGGGCCUAGCCGGGACGGCACGUCCACGAGCACGCUUGAGGCACGGUAAUAAAGUGGGCA
rnacentral:lncRNA from 1 species